UACGAAGGGGGCUAGCGUUGCCCGGAAUCACUGGGCGUAAAGGGUGCGUAGGCGGGUUUUUAAGUCAGAGGUGAAAUCCUGGAGCUCAACUCCAGAACUGCCUUUGAUACUGGAAGUCUUGAGUAUGGGAGAGGUGAGUGGAACUGCGAGUGUAGAGGUGAAAUUCGUAGAUAUGACAUAGAACACCAAUUGCGAAGGCAGCUUACUACCCGAAUAUUGACACUGAGGCACGAAAGCGUGGGGAUCAAACAGG
rnacentral:rRNA from 1 species